AUGAACUGGUCUGUUUUUUUAAAUGAUGUGGAACAGGGGAAGCCCUUGCAGGAGAACACACGAUCCUGUAGGUGUGAGUGUCCGGCAAUGAUUAGGCUUUUGUGGGCAUCCGAUCAGGUAGAAAAAGAUGCAUUGUACAAAGGGACACAUACUAGGCCUGAUAAAUGGGAGAAAUGGAGAAGAGUUGUUUUCCUGGUGAGAAUGCAUGACAAUGGUGAACACUUUGAGUGCGAGUGUGGGCUGUCUGUACACAUGCCCAUGUACUCAAGGUUGUUGACUAUACUUUGCAUUUCAGAUCAGAUCACAAAGCCGAUGUUUGUAAAAACCCCAAUUUGUUGA
rnacentral:rRNA from 1 species